rnacentral:rRNA from 1 species
AUUGAACGCUAGCGGGAUGCCUUACACAUGCAAGGCGAACGGAGUGGCGAACGGGUGAGUAAUGUAUCGGAACGUGCCCAGUAGCGGGGGAUAACUACGCGAAAGCGUAGCUAAUACCGCAUACUAUUGGAGCGGCCGAUAUCGGAUUAGCGAGUUGGUGGGGUAACGGCCAACCACGGCGACGGUCCGUAGCUGUUUUGAGAGGACGACCAGCCCCACUGAGACUGAGCCACGGCCCAGACUCCUACGGGAGGAAGCAGUGGGGAAUUUUUGACAAUGGGGGAACCCCUGAUCCCGCCAUCCCGCGUGUGCGAUGAAGGCCUUCGAUUUGUAAAGCACUUUUGGCAGGAAAGCGGUACCUGCAGAAUAAGCACCGGCUAACUACGUGCCAGCAGCCGCGGUAAUUC